GGUCCAGGUUCUUAAGUGAUGCAAGUUCAACUUGUUUCUCCAGGAAUGAUGGGUAUUCAGACAAAAUUUACUCAGUUACAUGUUAUUCUAACAUGGUAGCUUGAAGUCUACUUGAAUGAGUGUGACAAAGGAUUGAGUCCAGGAUCUUAUUCUUUGCCGGAAUGAUGUGCACAAGUGCUGUUCCACUACCACCGCCACGGCUGCCAUCCUCAAUCUCUUCGGAUGAGGACUAUGAUGAUGAUGAUGAGGAUGAAGAUGACACUGAAAACUAUAGCCGAUAGUUUUAGUAUGGUUGAAUAAUAUACUGAGAAUUAU